rnacentral:tRNA from 1 species
CCUGGUGGCUCAGAGGUUAAAGCGUCUGCCUGCAAUGCGGGAGACCUGGGUUUGAUCCCCGGGUCAGGA